GCAUAACAAAAACAUUUGAUGUGUUCGGUAUGUAGAUAAACGUGUGUCAAGCAGUCAGAGCAUCUCUUAUUAAGAAAAUAAGUCCCAUAUCACAUCGUAAAUAACGGAAAUGGACUGGAAGAAGCAAAAAUAAUGGCAGGUUGUAAGAAAAUGUGUGGUAUUGCAAAUUUACCAACAAAAGUGCACCUCAUUAGCAUAAUGUAAAGCAUGUACAGAACUGUUGAAAUAUCUAUUAUCGAAACCUGUAUUCUAUGCCUAAUAUUCGUCACAACAAAACCAUUCAAUGUGUAGUGUAUCUGACUGGAAAAGACAAAUAUGUCACCGAUGAACGCACAGAAAGAGAAGCAAUUUGGGAAAAGUCAAACAGCGUCCUGCAUAAGGCGGCAUUUUUAUCAGCAUUCGCGGAAAGAAGAGGAGCAACACAAAAAGAUGAGUUAAAAACGUAUUCACACAGUAUGUAAGAAUUACAUAAGUUAGAUCUACACUAUCCAAAGAGCAGUAAGUGUAUGAAGGAGAAACCUGUUGAUGAGGACUUAAGUUGUAGGCAAUGUGAUGCAGUGAAAUAUCAGUGCUGUAAGGAUAUUUUGUUCCUUAACACAUUUUUAGCAUCAUACAGAUUGCAGUAAACAACAGAUGAUAAUUUCAAACUAACUUUCAUUGAAUGUUGUGGGCAGUGUAGUAGAUUUAUUGAGUUUUACCAUAGAACAUACAGUGUAUGUGAAUAUUAGCCUACUAAAUACAUGUUGUUUACCUUUUACUGUGUACUUCGUGAAAAACAGUUUACUUCACCAUUUACAGGUACUGGGAUUGUCUUCCUUCUGACACUUAAAGUAGAAAAUUCAGAACAGGUUUUUUGGGUCUCUCUUUCAUUUUGAGUGUAAGCAAUGGAUGAGCUACAAGAUCGAUGUACAAAAGAGAUUCUAGUUGCAGACUGCCUUCAGUGAAACCUCGCCAUAUGUUAGCAACUGCAUUAUUUCUUAAUUAAAAUAUCUCUUUUGGGUAAAGUUAAUUAAAAAUUCUUGCUAUUGCAUUCCUUUUCAGGUCACAUGAUUAAGUACUGCCAGCAGCUGAGAGACACCAUUGUGUUCACUUCCCUGCUUCUUGCUCUUGUGGAAAAUAUAAUGCACACAAAGAAGAUUGCUGUUGUGCAUUACAUGAUUGUGUAACACUGAGAAAUGGAACGGAACAAACAGGCUGUAAGCUACCUCAUUCAGGCCUACAGUGAAGAAAAGUGUAUGUAUAACCCACAGGACCCGCUAUAUCGUAAUAAGCAUGCCAGGAAAGAGAAACUGGCAGUGAUAGGCAGUAAAGUUCACGAAGUUGUGCCCAACGCAACAGAUAAGGACUGCAAAACUCGCUUCAUGUCACUGCGGUCGCACUUUUGUGGAGAGCUAAAAAAAUUAGAGCCAGUUAGCAUAGUGGUGCAGGGGCAGAUCAUAAACUUUAUGAGCCUGCUGUGUGGUGGUUCAAUGCUUUGAAGUUUUUGAAGGACUACGUGACACCAAGGAAAACGGUGACAAAUGUCCCAAGCCGUAUGAAUACUGAGAUGACCACAGUUACUGAAGAGACCAUAGUAAAUGAGGGAUAUAUUGAAGAUGACAACAGCAAUUACUCCCAAGACAUAUUUACUGUGGAAUGGUCAGAGGGAAGUACACCUGUAUCAAUACCAUCACCUCUAAGUGAGCAGCCUUAUGCUUCAGCCAGAAAGAGGUGUAGGAAGGACACUAAGGAUGAAUUAGCCACCUCAACAUUGUCAGUCUUAAGAGACAUUGAAGUUUCCAUUAAUGGCAGCCAUGAAGAUGACAAGUUUGGGCAGUAUGUUGCUGCUGAGUUGGAGAAAUUGAAAAAUCCAGCAAUUAAGGCUGACGUGAAAUUGAAUGUCAUGAAAUCUAUCAUGGAUGGCAUACGUAAAGGAAUCUGUAACUGAUUUUAAAGUUAAGGCAUUGCAUUUCAUUGAUGAGUUAUUUUUAAAUAAAAGAUUGCCUUUUGUACAUUA